rnacentral:rRNA from 1 species
UACAGAGGUCUCAAGCGUUGUUCGGAUUCAUUGGGCGUAAAGGGUGUGUAGGUGGCGCGCUAAGUCGGGUGUGAAAUUUCGGAGCUUAACUGCGAAACUGCAUUCGAUACUGGCGUGCUUGAGGACUGGAGAGGAGACUGGAAUUCAUGGUGUAGCAGUGAAAUGCGUAGAGAUCAUGAGGAAGACCAGUGGCGAAGGCGGGUCUCUGGACAGUUCCUGGCACUGAGACACGAAGGCCAGGGGAGCAAACGGG